rnacentral:lncRNA from 1 species
CGAAGCCACUGAGAUCACCUCCUGUGAGGAUUUCGUCUUGCUCUGAGGCCACCUUUGUUGGAAGUGAAGAGGAACGUAGAACUGAAGGCAGCCCUGGUGAAGUCCUCCUCCCGAGUGCCCCUGUCAGCAAGCAGGCUCAAGAGGGGUCCUGACCAGAUGGAGGAUGCCUUGGAGCCUGCAAAGAAACGGACAGUGACCAAAGUUGACACAUCCCGUCCCAGAGGACCACUCCUCAGCACAGUGUCACAGACCCAGGGCCACACUGCAGGUGGGCUGUGGAGGUGGG